rnacentral:rRNA from 1 species
AUGACUUCAUUUCAAGAAGGGGAGGAUGAUGAGGACAUCAAUACCAUUGUUACACCCACAACCCCUGUUGUUAUACAUACUGAACCAAUUACUAGAGCUCGCGCACACCAAUUGAAUUAUCAGGUACUUUCGUUUCUUGAUAAUGAUUCUAAUGUUUAUGAGAAUAUGAUGCUGCCUAAAUUGGAUACAUUUGUUUUGCUUACAAAUGAAGGGCCUAGCUUGGACAAGAAAGAUGAACUUUGGAGCAAGACCAAGCAUGGAGAUGAUGGCAUGCGCAAGGGGAUCCAGAACGGAGUUACAAGUGAUGAUUCUAGGAUUUUGAAGCCACCAUAA